UACGUAGGGGGCAAGCGUUGUCCGGAAUCAUUGGGCGUAAAGAGCGUGUAGGCGGUCCGGUAAGUCGGUUGUGAAAGUCCAGGGCUCAACCCUGGGAUGCCGACCGAUACUGUCGGACUAGAGUGCGGAAGAGGCGAGUGGAAUUCCUGGUGUAGCGGUGAAAUGCGCAGAUAUCAGGAGGAACACCGAUUGCGAAGGCAGCUCGCUGGGACGUUACUGACGCUGAGACGCGAAAGCGUGGGGAGCAAACAGG
rnacentral:rRNA from 1 species